UACAGGGGGUGCUAGCGUUGUUCGGAAUUACUGGGCGUAAAGGGCGCGUAGGCGGUUUUACAAGUCAGGAGUGAAAUCCCGGGGCUUAACCUCGGAAUUGCUUUUGAAACUGUAAGGCUAGAGUGUAUUAGAGGAUGGCGGAAUUCCUAGUGUAGAGGUGAAAUUCGUAGAUAUUAGGAAGAACACCGGUGGCGAAGGCGGCCAUCUGGGAUACAACUGACGCUGAGGCGCGAAAGCGUGGGGAUCAAACAGG
rnacentral:rRNA from 1 species